rnacentral:lncRNA from 1 species
CCAAAGUCAGCCAAGAGGAGGUUUACCUGCUUCUGUGCAUUAGAGUUGGUUGGUAAUUUUGGAGCCUCUAGCAAGUACAUCACUUGGGUAUUUGGCUGCCAUUCAGCCCCUAAGCUACUCAUGGGUCAACUCACUAGUCAUCCAGGCAGGAUUAAUGGGUGUAUUAAUGGCUGCUGAGUGGUGACAGUUUUAGUCCUUGGUGGCUGAUUAAAGUUGCUUUAGAGUCUUUGUCCCUAGGUCUGAUGUUCAGUGGUUCAUUUCCCAUUUAAGAGUGUGGCUUGCGUAUACCGGGAAUUUCAUAUCCAACUCAGAAUUUGAAACAAGAUAUACAAGCCCUUUCAUGGUGCCUGACUUUUGUAUGGUUCUUUUCCUAGAUCUAUAAAGAAGUUCUAAGCAUGAGGCUGUCAGUAGGAGUGAAAAGCAGGUGCUCUGACUUUUGACCUUGCUACUGACAGAUGCUGCAGCUCACACCCAGCUCCGGCCAUCCUCCGUGGAACUCAGGUCACCUCUGGAAGUAAGAACUGUGGUCUCCGAGUCCUCUCUGCCCACAUCUUCUGCCCCUGGAUGGCGCCCCCUGGAAUCUGGCCAGACUUGUCUCCUGGGUAAGUGCCCAUGUGACCGUCCACACCGCCACACAUACCGUCCAUGGACACUGUUCUCCUGGCAAGGCCAGCAUGCUCUGCAGCGUGUGUCAGCUGCUUGGCGAAAUGACCUAUUGUCAUUGUCACGGUUGCUAUUCAGAUUAUAUUCGAGUUCACUUUGCCUUUCUGAAAAGUGAAGAUAAUAUUCCCUGACUUCCCUCCUCCCAGGGUUGCUUCAGGAGACAAACUGGUUAAUGUGUCACUCAAAUACAUGCUUAGGGCCCAACCAUCAAAGGUGGUCGAUUCAGGACGUAGGAGGGAACAUGCCGCAUCCCUCUGUGGAGUCAGGCUGGCUGGUUUGAUCCUGAUGCAAUCGCCAAGCAGUGAGCUGAUCUGGGUGACGUUAUGUAACUUUCCUGUGCGUGUCCAUCUGUAAAUGGAAGCAGCAGACGCCCCUGAAGUUCAGGGCUGUAGUGAGGAUGAUCUAAGAUGAGGCAUAGAGCUCUGCGUGUGGAUGCCUUGGCUAUAGGAAGCUUUCAGUGGAGGCUCUUAUUUGUAACAUGAAGGGAGACACCUGGUUUUAUUAUAAAACUCCACUGGAAGAAGGUAUCGUCUCUGUUUCUGGAACUCUUUGCUCAAUGAAGGGGAUCGAGUGUCUGGACAGGAUGCAGGGUCCAUUCAUUCAGGUCAGAAUUCUACAAAUGAUGGGGAAUCAUGAAACCGCCUAAGUAGGGGAGAGGUUUCUUAAGAAGAUAAGUCGGGUUCCUGUGCAUGGAGACUGUUCCAUGGAGACCAUGUACUGAGGAGGCAGACAGGUAGGAGCUGCAAUGGUACAAGAGCGGAGAAGCGGCUGGUUCUAGCA